rnacentral:siRNA from 1 species
GCCAUGACUCCGAACAGCACCACU